rnacentral:rRNA from 1 species
CUGUAAGCCUGUGAAGGUGUGCUGUGAGGCAUGCUGGAGGUAUCAGAAGUGCGAAUGCUGACAUAAGUAACGAUAAAGCGGGUGAAAAGCCCGCUCGCCGGAAGACCAAGGGUUCCUGUCCAACGUUAAUCGGGGCAGGGUGAGUCGACCCCUAAGGCGAGGCCGAAAGGCGUAGUCGAUGGGAAACAGGUUAAUAUUCCUGUACUUGGUGUUACUGCGAAGGGGGGACGGAGAA